GUGGAUUAGAUACCCUAGUAGUCCACGCCGUAAACGAUGGAUACUAGGUGUGGGGGGACUGACCCCCUCCGUGCCGCAGCUAACGCAAUAAGUAUCCCACCUGGGGAGUACGAUCGCAAGGUUGAAACUCAAAGGAAUUGACGGGGGCCCGCACAAGCGGUGGAGUAUGUGGUUUAAUUCGAAGCAACGCGAAGAACCUUACCAGGGCUUGACAUCCUACUAACGAAGCAGAGAUGCAUUAGGUGCCCUUCGGGGAAAGUAGAGACAGGUGGUGCACGGUUGUCGACAACU
rnacentral:rRNA from 1 species